AGUGGGGAAUUUUGGACAAUGGGCGCAAGCCUGAUCCAGCCAUGCCGCGUGCGGGAAGAAGGCCUUCGGGUUGUAAACCGCUUUUGUCAGGGAAGAAACGUUCCGGGCUAAUACCCUGGGGUAAUGACGGUACCUGAAGAAUAAGCACCGGCUAACUACGUGCCAGCAGCCGCGGUAAUACGUAGGGUGCAAGCGUUAAUCGGAAUUACUGGGCGUAAAGCGUGCGCAGGCGGUUGUGCAAGACAGAUGUGAAAUCCCCGGGCUUAACCUGGGAACUGCAUUUGUGACUGCACGGCUAGAGUGCGGCAGAGGGGGAUGGAAUUCCGCGUGUAGCAGUGAAAUGCGUAGAUAUGCGGAGGAACACCGAUGGCGAAGGCAAUCCCCUGGGCCUGCACUGACGCUCAUGCACGAAAGCGUGGGGAGCAAA
rnacentral:rRNA from 1 species